ACCAACGUAACUCCUCAUAAAAUAAAGAUCAAACUUUAAACUGGUAAGUUCUCAUUUAAUCUUACUAUUUUACUUCGGAGUCACGUGAGUGACUAAUUCCGUGAAGAGUUCAAAGCUCUGUGAUUUCAUGCCGCAGAUUCAAAUCCCGGCGUCUCACUGCAUCGAUUGACUCAGAAUGAGUGAAUAAUCAACAAUGCGUUAACCAUAACAUUGAUUCAAAUCUAU